CAGCGUUUAGCUGAGGCCACAAAGGAUCAACGUUUUUUUUAAGCUCUUGAGGUUAAGAAGUCUGUGCUAACUAACUUGUUAGGGGUAUCAGCACAGGGGGCUCUGAUUAGGUCCCGUUUUAAGAAUAUAAUGGAAAUGGAUGUUCCAUCACACUUUCUUUUUUUUUUUUCGAUUGGAGCAAAAGAAUGGUUAAAAAAGAUUCAUUCAUAGUUUAAAAUCUGACUUUGGGCAUGUGUUGUCUGAUCAUGCUGCUAUUCAUAAGCACGCUGUUGGUUUUUAUAAUAAUUUGUAUAAAUGUGAGCAAGUGAUAGCUCAGAGUUUUUAUACGGGUCUUCCCCAGUAGAAAAACUGCUGGUUUAGAUGGUUUACCUGUUGAUUUUUAUUAAUUAAUAAUUAAUAAAAUUUAUUUAUUAAAAAACCUAAUGUCGGACAUGAACGACAAAUUUUUUCAGCAAAAGAAAUGCUUUAAUGUUCUGUGCUGAUGGAAAUAUAAUCAUGGGAGGCGAUUGGAAUUGUACUGAGAAUUUCACUAUUGAUCGCACAAAUGAAGAACCUCACCUUCAGUCUUCAUCUCAAUUAUCAAAAAUAGUUCGAGAAGUAGACCUUUUAGAUAUGUGGCGGAUCAAACACCCACACUUGAGAAAAUAUACUUGGAUUAAAAUAACAGAUAAUAGAGUCAGUGCUGCUCGCUUGGAUAGGAUAUAUAUGUCCAAUCAUCUUAAUAGUCGGAAUAUUGAUUGUUUUAUCACUCCAGUAGGGUACACAGAUCAUCAUUUGGUUUCUCUUACUAUAAAUAUGUCCAAGUGUAUAAAGAAGUCAUCUUAUUGGCAUUUUAACACUAAAUUGCUUCAGGAUCUUAAUUUUUUUAAACAUUUUGAGAUUUUUUUGGCAACAGUGGAGAUUGUGUAAAGGCACUUUUGAAAAUUUAAAACAGUGGUGGGAAAUAGGGAAAACAAACAUUAAAAUGUUUUGUUUGCAACAUACUGCUAAUUCCACUAUUAAAUUAAGAGAAAUUAUUCAGUCAAUUGAAAAGGACAUAUAAAAUAUGGAGGUGGAUCUUAUUAAUAGAUAUGAUUCUAAUCUGUUUAACAACCUGCAAGGAAAAAAAAGAAGGGAGAAGGUUGAAGGGAGCUCUUGUAAGGUCUCGGAUUGUCUCUAUUAAUUACAUGGAUGCUCCUAGUGCUUAUUUUUUUAAUUUGGAGCACAAAGUGGCACAACAGAAACAGAUGUCAUGUCUUCGCCUUCCUGAUGGGAGGGUGACCAGUAAUAUUACAGAGAUGAGGCAUCAUGCAGUGGAUUUUUAUUCCAAUCUCUAUGCUGCUGAACAAUGUGAUGCUGACUGUGCCAAACAGCUAAUUCAAGACUUGCCUCAAAUAGACUCGGACUCUAAGACUGAUUUGGACACUGAACUUUCUCUUCAAGAGCUCACUACCGCAGUUGGUCAGCUUGGUAUUGGACGAUCUCCCUGUAUUGAUGGGUUUCCCUCAGAAUUUUACAAGCAUUUUUGGAACUUUAUUGGACAAGACUUAUAUGAGGUUUUCUGUGAAUGUAGUAAAGAUGGUUGUUUGCCUAUAUCUUGUCAAUGUGCUGUGCUGUGCUUUUUUGUAUUACCAAAAAAGGGAGAUUUAUCUUUUUAAAAAAAUUGGAGACCUGUUGCAUUACUGACCACUAAUUACAAAUGUCAAGAAUCUGGGAGUAGG
ensembl:lncRNA